GACGCGGCGUACGGCUCAGUAACACGUGGCUAACCUACCAUUAGGACGGGGACAACCCCGGGAAACUGGGGCUGAUACCCGAUAGGUGAGGAGGCCUGGAAUGGUUCCUAGUCGAAAAGGCGUUGAAACCAUGCUUUUCGACGUCGCCUAAGGAUGGGGCCGCGCCCGAUCAGGUUGUUGGUGGGGUAACGGCUCACCAAGCCUAUAACCGGUACGGGCCGUGAGAGCGGGAGCCCGGAGAUGGGCACUGAGACAAGGGCCCAGGCCCUACGGGGCGCAGCAGUCGCGAAAACUCCGCAAUGCGCGAAAGCGUGACGGGGCUACCCCGAGUGCCGUCCGCUGAGGAUGGCUUUUCCCCGGUGUAAUGAGCCGGGGGAAUAAGGAGAGGGCAAGUCUGGUGUCAGCCGCCGCGGUAAUACCAGCUCUCCGAGUGGUAGGGAUGAUUAUUGGGCUUAAAGCGUCCGUAGCCGGCUUAGCAAGUCUCCUGUUAAAUUCAGCGACCUAAUCGUUGAGCCGCGGGAGACACUACUAGGCUAGGAGGCGGGAGAGGCCGACGGUAUUCUCGGGGUAGGGGUGAAAUCCUAUAAUCCCGGGAGGACCACCAGUGGCGAAGGCUGUCGGCUAGAACGCGCUCGACGGUGAGGGACGAAAGCUGGGGGAGCGAACCGGAUUAGAUACCCGGGUAGUCCCAGCUGUAAACGAUGCGGGCUAGGUGUUGGGGUGGCUACGAGCCACUUCAGUGCCGCAGGGAAGCCAUUAAGCCC
rnacentral:rRNA from 1 species